rnacentral:tRNA from 2 species
GGUGCAUUAGUUUAAGGGUAGAACCUAACGCUUCGGUCGUUAUGGUACGAGUUCGAAUCUUGUAUGCACUU